UACAGAGGUCUCAAGCGUUGUUCGGAUUCAUUGGGCGUAAAGGGCGCGUAGGCGGCGAGGUAAGUCGGGUGUGAAAACUCGAGGCUUAACCUCGAGCUGUCGGCGGAAACCAUCUGGCUAGAGUCCGGAAGAGGAGAAUGGAAUUCCCGGUGUAGCGGUGAAAUGCGCAGAUAUCGGGAAGAACACCCGUGGCGAAGGCGGUUCUCUGGGACGGUACUGACGCUGAGACGCGAAAGCGUGGGGAGCGAACAGG
rnacentral:rRNA from 1 species